GCUGGGUGUGGUGACGCACGCCUGUAGUCCCAGCUACUCAGGAGGCUGAGGCAGGAGAAUUGCUUGAACCUAGGAGGUGGGGGUUGCAGUCAGUGGAGAUGGCGCCACUGGGUGGGUUCCAGCCUGGGUGACAGAGCCAGACCCUGUCUCAA
ensembl:misc_RNA Metazoa_SRP Metazoan signal recognition particle RNA